rnacentral:rRNA from 1 species
AGAUUGAACGCUGGCGGCAUGCCUAACACAUGCAAGUCGAACGGGAGUAGCAAUACUCUAGUGGCGGACGGGUGAGGAAUACGUAGGAAUUUGCCCUUAAGUGGGGGAUAACCCGGGGAAACCCGGAUUAAUACCGCAUGACCUCGAAAGAGCAAAGUGGGGGAUCGCAAGACCUCACGCUUUUGGAGAAGCCUACGUCGGAUUAGCUAGUUGGUGAGGUAAUGGCUCACCAAGGCGACGAUCCGUAACUGGUCUGAGAGGAUGAUCAGUCACACCGGAACUGAGACACGGUCCGGACUCCUACGGGAGGCAGCAGUGGGGAAUAUUGGACAAUGGGCGCAAGCC